rnacentral:rRNA from 1 species
CACGUAGGGUGCGAGCGUUGUCCGGAAUUAUUGGGCGUAAAGAGCUCGUAGGCGGUGUGUCGCGUCGGCCGUGAAAACCUGCAGCUUAACUGUGGGCUUGCGGUCGAUACGGGCAUCACUGGAGUUCGGCAGGGGAGACUGGAAUUCCUGGUGUAGCGGUGGAAUGCGCAGAUAUCAGGAAGAACACCCGUGGCGAAGGCGGCUCUCUGGAACGCAACUGACGCUGAGACGCGAAAGCGUGGGGAGCAAACAGG